GCGACUGUAGUUUAAUGGUAGAAUGGUGGCUUCCAAACCCAAAGGCAGGGGUUCGAUUCCUCUCAGUCGUG
rnacentral:tRNA from 1 species